rnacentral:rRNA from 1 species
AUGCAGUCGAGCGGACAGAUGGGAGCUUGCUCCCUGAUGUUAGCGGCGGACGGGUGAGUAACACGUGGGUAACCUGCCUGUAAGACUGGGAUAACUCCGGGAAACCGGGGCUAAUACCGGAUGGUUGUCUGAACCGCAUGGUUCAGACAUAAAAGGUGGCUUCGGCUACCACUUACAGAUGGACCCGCGGCGCAUUAGCUAGUUGGUGAGGUAACGGCUCACCAAGGCGACGAUGCGUAGCCGACCUGAGAGGGUGAUCGGCCACACUGGGACUGAGACACGGCCCAGACUCCUACGGGAGGCAGCAGUAGGGAAUCUUCCGCAAUGGACGAAAGUCUGACGGAGCAACGCCGCGUGAGUGAUGAAGGUUUUCGGAUCGUAAAGCUCUGUUGUUAGGGAAGAACAAGUGCCGUUCAAAUAGGGCGGCACCUUGACGGUACCUAACCAGAAAGCCACGGCUAACUACGUGCCAGCAGCCGCGGUAAUACGUAGGUGGCAAGCGUUGUCCGGAAUUAUUGGGCGUAAAGGGCUCGCAGGCGGUUUCUUAAGUCUGAUGUGAAAGCCCCCGGCUCAACCGGGGAGGGUCAUUGGAAACUGGGGAACUUGAGUGCAGAAGAGGAGAGUGGAAUUCCACGUGUAGCGGUGAAAUGCGUAGAGAUGUGGAGGAACACCAGUGGCGAAGGCGACUCUCUGGUCUGUAACUGACGCUGAGGAGCGAAAGCGUGGGGAGCGAACAGGAUUAGAUACCCUGGUAGUCCACGCCGUAAACGAUGAGUGCUAAGUGUAGGGGUUUCCGCCCCUUA